GUGACGCCAGCAGAGACCAACAGAAGCAGCAGCAUCCGCCGGACAGAGACGCCAAAUCGGCCCAGCAGCUCCGGUCACCAGAGAGCCACCUUCAUCAUCACCUUCAUCAUCCUCCUGUAGAGGCUCUCUGAUUGGUCGCCUCCAACAUGCUCCGCCUCCUGCUCCUCUUCCUCUCUGCUGCCAUGUUGCUGCCAGGAGCUGCUGGACAGUUUAAAGUAUUUACUAAUAACACAGAGGUGGACAUCAGCUCAUGCCCCAUCACGUACUUUGGACAGAA